CAGACCACUGUGUGCGGGCGGCCCCCCCGGGGGGAGACAAGGGACUGGGGGAGGCCAGCCAAGGGACCGGGUCUUCGCAGACCCCACCCCCAGGGAGCCGUCCCGUCCGCCAGCCCCCGGGGUCCACCAAGGCCUGGGCUCUGCGUCUUGGGCGCUGUCACCCGGCCAGAGCCCCCUGCGAAGGGGCUUUAAGUGUCACCCACUUAAACCCUGGGCACCCUGGACCCCAAGAGUGGCCCCCACCCCUGCACACACCCCGGACCCGGCCCUCCCUCUGCCUACAAGACAGAAAACGUCCUUGCUGGCCCUGGGAGGACGUGCUUGGCACCGGCCUGAUGGGCGAUAAGGGGUGUCCUUCAAGACGACUCGCUCCCUCCCUGUGCUGUUCCCGUGCGGAGGGGCUGUCCCGGCUGUCGCCUCAGCCCUGGCCCUGCAGUUAACCCCACUGAUUCUCCUCUGUGCCCCGAGAGCAGCCCACAGGCGCCCUGCAGCCUGGGCCAGGCGGGGUCAGCAGCCCCUCCCUCCACAGGGGCCCAGCUCCCCGGGGCGACACUCCUGGCCUCAGUUGCCCGAGAAUGGCCAAGCCCCCUGGAGCAGGAAGGUAAAGGCUGCGUCUGGGUGUGGAAAUCUGGCCCGCAGGAGCCCACCCAGGGGAGCGAGCUCCCCACUAGAACAAGGGCGCCCUUCCGCCGAGGGCUGGGGAGCAGCAACUUUUAAUCCUUCAUCUGCCUGGAGUGAGCUGGGGCCCUGGGUUCCGACUUGCUCCCCAAGGUGUCUGUGGCGGGGACUCCCCGGGAACCAGGCUGGGUCUGCAUCCUCGGCCCUGGGCUGGGCGGGUGCUGCUGGGACCACCUGGGCCCGGGCGCCCUGGGCAGGGGGACGGAGCGGCCAGCCUGACCUCAGCGGAGGCUCCUGGGUCCCUGGGGCCACCUGCGGCCACCUGCGGCCACCUGCGGCCUGUGCCCAGAGGCUCUGAAGGAGGAUGCCCGGGCCCACGGGAGGGGCGGCAAAGGGUUAAGGCUGGCUGGGGGGGCCCUGCCUCGGCCUCCCUGGGCCUCCCUGCGUCAGGGUUUCAAGGCUGUGACUCCCUCUGGGGGAGAUAAUCCGGCUUCUUGAUAUUUUCUUCCACUUCUCGGGCGGCCCGAGCACGGCGGCCGUGGGAACCCCCCUCUGCGUCCAAGGCCACUGCGCACAGGCCCUUCCCAGGCACCCUUGGCCUUUCCGGGACCCGCACCCACGAGGAAGUGCUGACCGGGCAGCCCUGUGUGUGUGCCCCAGCACCCCUCGCGCUCCCGCCCGCCUGCCCCGGCUGGGCCCCCCGCACCCCGGCCUGGAGCCAGGCUGAGCCAGGUCCCCACUGCCCCGGGCUCGGGGGCUUUCACGCUGGGACGGGGCUCUGACGACGGCCACUGCCGUUCACUCGUGGUCCCUUCGUGUCCCUCGGGUCCUUGGCCAGCUCGCCCACGGAGACACGCCCUCGGCCCCCGGCCCCCCAACCGCAGGCCCCUCGGCAGCUCUGGGAGCCCCGGUCCUGGGGCCCUGUGCUGAGGGGAACCGAGGCCCCGACAGCAAGCCGAGCCCAGCAUCCAGGCCCGGGCUCCGGGGACCCUCGGGGGCCCCCUCCCCACUCUGUCCACAGAGAAACUGGCUGGCUGGCUCGGGGAGGCUGCGGGCGCCGUGUCCCCAGGGCCCCCUGCCUGGGACCGAGCCGGGAAGGCCCAGAGGCCGCUGAAUCUGGGGAAGGGGCUGCUCCCCGCGGCUCUGGGUCACGGGGAAGAGGACCAGUCCCGACGGCUGGUGGGAGCAAAGGAGGGCGCCCCGGGGAACUGAGUGUGCGCUCACGUGUGGGUGGGCGUGCACGGGGUCGGGGGUGCUCUGGGACCCUGAUGGGGAGGGACGGCGAGGCCUCCGAGCCUGGGAAUGCAAGUGAGCAGAGCCCCUGCCCUCUGUCCCCAGGCGCUGGAGGGGUGACCAGGCAGGUGCCCGCGGCUGGGCCCCCAGGGACACUGGGGAGCAGGUAAGGGAGGGUCGGCCGGGGCGGGGCCGGGGCGGCGGC
rnacentral:lncRNA from 1 species